UACGUAGGGUGCAAGCGUUGUCCGGAAUUACUGGGCGUAAAGAGCUCGUAGGUGGUUUGUCGCGUUGUUCGUGAAAACUCACAGCUCAACUGUGGGCGUGCGGGCGAUACGGGCAGACUAGAGUACUGCAGGGGAGACUGGAAUUCCUGGUGUAGCGGUGGAAUGCGCAGAUAUCAGGAGGAACACCGGUGGCGAAGGCGGGUCUCUGGGCAGUAACUGACGCUGAGGAGCGAAAGCGUGGGGAGCGAACAGG
rnacentral:rRNA from 1 species